rnacentral:rRNA from 1 species
AGCGAACGCUGGCGGCAGGCUUAACACAUGCAAGUCGAACGAGCCUUUCGGGGCUAGUGGCGGACGGGUGAGUAACGCGUGGGAACGUGCCCUAAGGUACGGAACAACUGAGGGAAACUUCAGCUAAUACCGUAUGUGCCCGAGAGGGGAAAGAUUUAUCGCCUUAGGAGCGGCCCGCGUCUGAUUAGCUAGUUGGUGGGGUAAAGGCCCACCAAGGCUUCGAUCAGUAGCUGGUCUGAGAGGAUGGCCAGCCACAUUGGGACUGAGACACGGCCCAAACUCCUACGGGAGGCAGCAGUGGGGAAUCUUGCGCAAUGGGCGAAAGCCUGACGCAGGCAUGCCGCGUGGAUGAUGAAGGUCUUAGGAUUGUAAAAUCCUUUCAGCGGGGACGAUAAUGACGGUACCCGCAGAAGAAGCCCGGCUAACUUCGUGCCAGCCGCCGCGGUAAGAC